GAUGAACGCUGGCGGCGUGCCUAAUACAUGCAAGUCGAGCGAACGGAUGAGAAGCUUGCUUCUCUGAUGUUAGCGGCGGACGGGUGAGUAACACGUGGAUAACCUACCUAUAAGACUGGGAUAACUUCGGGAAACCGGAGCUAAUACCGGAUAAUAUUUUGAACCGCAUGGUUCAAAAGUGAAAGACGGUCUUGCCGUCACUUAUAGAUGGAUCCGCGCUGCAUUAGCUAGUUGGUAAGGUAACGGCUUACCAAGGCAACGAUGCAUAGCCGACCUGAGAGGGUGAUCGGCCACACUGGAACUGAGACACGGUCCAGACUCCUACGGGAGGCAGCAGUAGGGAAUCUUCCGCAAUGGGCGAAAGCCUGACGGAGCAACGCCGCGUGAGUGAUGAAGGUCUUCGGAUCGUAAAACUCUGUUAUUAGGGAAGAACAUAUGUGUAAGUAACUGUGCACAUCUUGACGGUACCUAAUCAGAAAGCCACGGCUAACUACGUG
rnacentral:rRNA from 1 species